rnacentral:rRNA from 1 species
GACAGAGGGUGCAAGCGUUGUUCGGAAUUACUGGGCGUAAAGCGCGUGUAGGCAGUUUCGCAAGUCGGGUGUGAAAUCCCCGGGCUCAACCUGGGAAUGGCAGUGGAUACUGGAGAGCUAGAGUGCGGUAGAGGGUAGUGGAAUUCCCGGUGUAGCAGUGAAAUGCGUAGAGAUCGGGAGGAACACCAGUGGCGAAGGCGGCUACCUGGACCAGCACUGACACUGAAGCACGAAAGCGUGGGGAGCAAACAGG